UUUAACUUCAUGUGCCAAGAGAGAGAAGGAGACGCCGGAGAAAUAAAAAAACCAAACUUUAGUUAAGAUAGAUCCAACUAAAAAAUCUGUUUGGAGCUUUGAUUCGAGUUAAAAAAAAAAAAAAACUAAAAUUCAGGGUGGAGAGGCGAUGAACGGAAUACAUAAAUCUGGAAACGCGGUGGUGCACCACCACCAGAGAAAUCUCUCUGAUAAUCUUCUCGACAUGUGUUCCUCCUGUGGCAGAUGGCUCUAAUCCACUGGUUUCCCACACUUUCAGCCAUCCCCAUUUGGUGUGUGUACACAUGAUUACGGAUACUAUGCUGCUGGUGGCCAACUCUGCAAGGUUCUGGAAACAGGAGUUAGCGCCGGAGAUUAGAAGCCGGAGUAAGCGGCGGCGAUGGUUCUUAUGAAGGGGUAAUUGGACUACUGUAACCGGAGGCGAACAGUGACCAAAGAGUCAACUAAGGCGAGUCAGAGCCACCACCACAAGACUGAAUCAAGAAGAAGAAGAAUGCAUGUCUUCAACCUAGGUCCGUUGCUAGGCGAUAAAUUAGUUUAGCAAGCUAAUAGAUAUAAGUUUUUGUAUUCAUCUUUUUUUUUGGAUAAUGUUAUAUUUACUCACAUAGGUACAAUUCAUAUAGUUGAUAUUUAUGUUAGGUGGUUAUAAUGUGACUUGUUUA